rnacentral:rRNA from 1 species
AUUGGUGUUUCAUAACAUCUAGUUAACAUCUACAUGGCCACCCACUGUAGCUAAGCAUGGCUGCACCUGGUCAGUACCUAAAUGGGAGACCACAUGGUAAAGCUAGGUUGCUGCUAAAA